GGCAGCACCUGAGCGAUGCUGUGCCCGUGUCCAUAUCUGUGUCCAUAUCUGUGUCCAUGUCCGUGUUUGUGUCCGUGUUUGUGUCCGUGUGCAUGUCUGUGUCCAUGUCUGUGUCCAUAUCUGUGUCCAUAUCUGUGUCCAUGUCUGUGUCUGUGUCUGUGUCCAUAUCUGUGUCCAUAUCUGUGUCCAUGUCUGUGUCUGUGUCUGUGUCCAUAUCUGUGUCCAUAUCUGUGUCCAUGUCUGUGUCUGUGUCUGUGUCCAUGUCUGUGCCCAUGUCCGUGUCCAUGUCUGUGUCCAUAUCUGUGUCCAUAUCUGUGUCCAUGUCUGUGCCCAUGUCUGUGCCCAUGUCUGUGCCCAUGUCCGUGUCCAUGUCUGUGUCCAUAUCUGUGUCCAUGUCUGUGUCCAUGUCUGUGUCCAUAUCUGUGUCCAUAUCUGUGUCCAUGUCUGUGCCCAUGUCUGUGUCCAUGUCUGUGUCCAUGUCUGUGUCCCCUGUCCCUGCAGCGAGGCGCUUCGUUAGCGCAAAGAUUUUAUUCCAGGCAAUUUCACUCUGAUGGGUUUCCGCUCUUAUCAUGCAAAAGGACCCAGCACAAUGAUGCCGGGCGAGUUCUCAAUUAACAGCUUCCAGGGAUGAGGAUGAGGGAUGCAGCACGGGGCACCGCGGGCGCUGGGACUCCCAUGGCCCAGGUCAUCCCCCUCGGCCACCCCAUGGGGAUUCCUCAGGCCGGGGGGGGGAAGCUGUGGGGUUGGGGCAGCCCCAUCCUUCGGCCAGCAGAGCAGGCCGGGCUGUCAGGCAGCACUAACAGUAACGAAUGCCCCUAAUGAAGCACCCAAUUAGCCAGGAUCCCAGCCUUAAUGGUAGCUGACAGAGCUGAAAGCUGCGAGUAGUCAAUUGUCAAGUGCAGCAUCCCAUCGGAGGGAGACGCCAGGGCUGCGCCAUUCAUCUCUGUCACGGAGAAACGGCGCUCCUGCCUUAACCCUGGGGCGCUGAGAUCCGCAGCCCCCGUGGGCCCCGUGGCCCCAUAACCCCACAGACCCAAAGGCCCCGCAGUGACCCCAUGGCCUCCGCAGGCACAGUCACCCCACAGGCCUCGUGGCCCCAUAGGCCCCGCAGGCCCCACAGCCACCGCAAAGACCUGCAGGCCCCGUGGCUCCCAUAGGCCCCAUAACCACCACAGGCCCCACAGCCCCUACAACCACACCAAGGCCCCACAGGCCCAUUUCACCCCAUAGACCUCUAUACCCCCACAGGCCCAUUUCACCCCAUAGACCUCUAUACCCCCACAGGCCCAUUUCACCCCAUAGACCUCUAUACCCCCACAGGCCCAUUUCACCCCAUAGACCUCUAUACCCCCACAGGCCCAUUUCACCCCAUAGACCUCUAUAUCCCCACAGGCCCAUUUCACCCCAUAGACCUCUAUAUCCCCACAGGCCCAUUUCACCCCAUAGACCUCUAUAUCCCCACAGGCCCAUUUCACCCCAUAGACCUCUAUACCCCCACAGGCCCAUUUCACCCCAUAGACCUCUAUAUCCCCACAGGCCCCACAGACCCAUAUCACCCCACAGACCCCACAGCCACCUAGGCCCCAUAGGCUCCACAUCCCCAGAGGCUGCUCCCAUAUCCCCCACAGGGCCCUGAGUCCUCAGCCCCACACAUGGCAGCAAACUCUCCCGCCCCACUCAGAGCCGAGGCAGCCGCCACAUCUCCCUUUGUGCUGCUGCAUUUCACCAUUUUUGCACCAUUUUACGCCGUUUGCUUUGUUGUUUUUUUGGGUGUUUUUUUUGCCACUCUGUGUCACACGGUAUCACCCCACCGCCGCCAUCACUCCCAGCCGUGGAGGUUUUUAUUUUAUUUUCUAUUUCAAACCAGACGAAUUAGCGCCGUGCCUCAUUUAGACAGCUCCAAUCCCACUCCUUCUAAUUAGCACGGCCUGGCAGCCCUGCUGCGGCUACGGCGUUCCAGGCGGCGGGUUUUUAAAACGCUGUUGACAUUUUGCGGACUGAACGACUUAAACGAUAACAAAUUAGCAGACGGCGCCGUGCGCUGCCCGCAGCCCUGCGUCCCCUCGUGCCGUGGGGAGGGUUUUGUAGGGAGGGGUGGUCCGUAAAGAUUGGCUGGAGGGAAAAGGCAGGGUGGACCCAAGACAGGAGCACGGGAAGAUGAGGGACCUGUGGUGGGGGUCCUUGUUACAUGGAGACGGGGACCUUGGGCGCAUGGAGGUGGGGACCCUUGUUACGUAGAGAUGGAGACCUUUGGCACAUGGUGAUGGGGAGCUUUGACACAUGGAAAUGGGGACAUUAGGCACAUGGAGGUGGGGACCUUUGGCACAUAGAGAUGGGGACCUUUGGCACAUGAAGGUGGGGACCUUUGGCACAUGGAGGUGGGGACCUUUGGCACAUGAAGGUGGGGACCUUUGGCACAUGGAGUUGGGGACAUUUGGCACAUGGAAAUGGGGACCUUUGGUGCAUGAAGGUGGGAACCCUUGUUACAUAGAGAUGGGGAUCCUUGACACAUGGAGGUGGGGACCUUUGGCACAUGGAGAUGGGGGCCUUUGGCACAUGGAAAUGGGGACCCUUGGCACAUGGAGGUGGGGAUGUGCUUUGCUCCUCCAUCCCCACCCCUGGAGGAUGAGCCCCAUCUGGAAGUGCUGCAUGGCGCCGUGCGCCACCCAGGGCUGUAGGGAUGGGGGUGCAGCGUGGCAUUGCCAAGGCUGGGAUGCCCAGCUGUCUGUGCUGCCUGUCCCUGUGUGCCAGCACUGUCUCUGUGUCCCCCCAUGACCCGUGUCCCCCCAGCCUGCCCUGUCCUAACGCUGCUCCCUAAAACCUCCUUCUCUGUACACUUUGUGCCUUCUGACCCUUGCGUUGGGUCACGUCUAUGGGGCACAGUGGGGAUGGGGACACAAGGGCACUGCUGCUGACCCCCCCCCCCGAUCACAGUGUUCCCAACCAGAAGUCCAUUGUGGGGGGAUGGGCUGGGGGGGGUUAAGGACCCACGUCCAGCUGAGAGCCCCACGCUGGGACUGAGCUCCCCACUGCUCCCCAGCCCCGUCUGCUCCAUUCAUCACAGCUAAUCAGCUUUAAUUCACCACUUUGUCAGUCCAGCAAAAGCCCUUGGAGUCGGUCGAUCUUUUUCUUCCCCCUCCCUAUCCCCAAAACAUAAUUAUUAUUAUUAUUCCCCUGAUGAGCGCGAGCCCUUCUGUUACAAUCGCCUUUUCGCUCGGACUUAAAUAACAAUCAUUAAAAUAAAUAAUUUUUUUAAAUAAAAGGAAGGGAGAGGAGCUGUGCACGUUUUUUCUUCUUCAUUUUUUUUUCUUUAUUGUUUUGUAUGUGUUUGAAAUUGUUUCCCAGUAAAUCGCGGCCCUUUGUAUUAAUUUUACAUUUUAAAAUGUUACCUUGCCAGGGGCAGGGUUGGCACAGCCGACUUGGAAAAGGAGAGGGAAGGAGAGAGAGAAAAGCCCUUCUCCUUCAUUAGCGCGUUUCCCUGUGUGAUCAGAGCGCUUAUGAAGUGGGUAACGGGUGGGAGGACGGAAGGAUUGGACCCCCCCCCCAUACACACCUCAUCCCUGCAUCCUUUUUGGGGUGCCAGUUUGGUCGACCGCUUCCUGGGCUGUCAUUGUCCCCAUUGGGGGCACACGGGGCAUCCGUGUGAUGAGUUGCAGCCAGCCUCAGCCUGGGUGCUCAGGGAGGAGCACAGGGCAGCGCUUUGGAUGGGAGGGGGGUGGGUGCAGGUGGGUGCUCAGGGUGCAAACCCCCAGCAGUAUGGGAUGGCUGUGGGAUACGGCGCCGCCGUGCCCAAGAGCGGCGCUGCAGGAGCUUCCAAUUCAUGAGCAAAGAGGGGAAAAGAGCAGAAGUGCUGUGUUGGUGUCCUGGGGGGCACAGAGCUGCGCUGGGGGGCUG